AUGAGCACCUCCGAGUACGACUACCUCUUCAAGCUGCUCCUCAUCGGCGACUCCUCCGUCGGCAAGUCCUGCCUCCUCCUCCGCUUCGCCGACGACGCGUACGUCGACACCUACAUCAGUACCAUCGGCGUUGAUUUCAAAAUCCGGACCGUCGAGCUCGAUGGCAAGUCGGUGAAGCUGCAGAUUUGGGACACAGCAGGCCAGGAAAGGUUCAGGACAAUAACAAGCAGUUACUACCGCGGAGCGCAUGGAAUCAUUAUCGUAUAUGAUGUGACAGAUAGGGAAAGCUUCAACAACGUCAAGCAGUGGUUGAGUGAGAUUGAUAGGUAUGCCAGUGACAGUGUGUGCAAGCUUCUAGUCGGGAACAAAUGUGAUUUGGUUGAUAGUAAGGUCGUCGAUACAGAAGAGGCCAAGGCUUUUGCAGAAUCGUUGGGAAUGAAUUUUCUUGAGACAAGUGCAAAGGAAGCCAUCAAUGUGGAGACAGCUUUCUUAACCAUGUCAUCAGAAAUCAAGAACAAGAUGGCGAGCCAACCAACGGCGGAGAGGAAAUCGACGGUCCAUGUUCACAUGAAAGGGCAGCCCAUACAGCAGCAGAACAGCAGCUGCUGCUCAUAA
rnacentral:rRNA from 1 species